rnacentral:rRNA from 1 species
UACGUAGGUGGCAAGCGUUGUCCGGAUUUAUUGGGCGUAAAGCGAGCGCAGGCGGUUUUUUAAGUCUGAUGUGAAAGCCUUCGGCUUAACCGGAGAAGUGCAUCGGAAACUGGGAGACUUGAGUGCAGAAGAGGACAGUGGAACUCCAUGUGUAGCGGUGGAAUGCGUAGAUAUAUGGAAGAACACCAGUGGCGAAGGCGGCUGUCUAGUCUGUAACUGACGCUGAGGCUCGAAAGCAUGGGUAGCGAACAGGAUUAGAUACCCUGGUAGUCCAUGCCGUAAACGAUGAGUGCUAAGUGUUGGAGGGUUUCCGCCCUUCAGUGCUGCAGCUAACGCAUUAAGCACUCCGCCUGGGGAGUACGACCGCAAGGUUGAA